AUUGAACGCUGGCGGCAGGCCUAACACAUGCAAGUCGAACGAGUGGCGGACGGGUGAGUAAUGUCUGGUAAACUGCCUGAUGGAGGGGGAUAACUAAUGGAAACGGUAGCUAAUACCGCAUACCAUCGGAUGUGCCCAGAUGGGAUUAGCUAGGAGGUGGGGUAACGGCUCACCUGGGCGACGAUCACUAGCUGGUCUGAGAGGAUGACCAGCCACCCUGGAACUGAGACACGGUCCAGACGCUGACGGGAGGCAGCAGGGGGGAAUAUUGAACAAUGGGCGCAAUCCUGAUGCAGCCAUGCCGCUUGUAUGAAGAAGGCCUUCGGGUUGUAAAGUACUUUCAGCGGGGAGGCGUUACCCGCAGAAGAAGCACCGGCUAACUCCGUGCCAGCAGCCGCGGUAAUAC
rnacentral:rRNA from 1 species